AUGGUCAAAAAUGGCAGACUAUUGCUAUUGAAAAGGUUCUGGCAUAUCCCCUGUUGUUCAUAUAUGGCUCUGUCCUCCAGAAUGUCUAAAAAAGAAAAAGUUCUUCACAGAAAUAUUAGUAAAAUUCACAAGAGUGCUGAUGAAUUGACUUUUUUUCGGGUGAAAACAACUUGGUUUGCAAAGCCAAUGAUUCAGGAUUCGUUGCCAAUCAUGAUGUGGGCUUUGAGCUAAGCAAGGCAAGAGUCUUCUAG
rnacentral:lncRNA from 1 species